rnacentral:snRNA from 1 species
AUCGCUUCUCAGCCCUUCGGCUAAGAUUAAGUGUA